rnacentral:rRNA from 1 species
AGAGGACCGGGAUGGACGAACCACUGGUGUAUCUGUUGUCGACCAACGGCAUGGCAGAGUAGCCAAGUUCGGACGGGAUAAACGCUGAAGGCAUCUAAGCGUGAAGCCCCCCUCAAGAUGAGAUAUCCCUUCCUAUAAGGAAGUAAGACCCCUUGAAGACGACAAGGUAGAUAGGGCGGAGGUGGAAGUGUAGUAAUACAUGGAGCUGACCGUUACUAAUAGGUCGAGGGCUUGACCAA